AACAUAUUUAUAAUUCUAACCAUUGAAAUAUAAACUUAAAAUGUUUAUAAAAUCUAAAGAUCUUAAACUAAAUGUCCAAUGUCCUUAUAAAAAAUCAAUACAAAUAAUAUCAAUGUCCACUUUGUCAUCUUUGCUAGCCAAUCUAAAAAAUUGAACAAAAAUUAAUUAGUAAUCACUAAUUAGAGUACAAAAUAACUAUGCAACAAACAUAAUAUAGCUAUUUUACUAUUCUCUUUCAAAUUCAAUGGAUGACUACAAAACAACAUCAGUCCAAUGCCAGCAAAACUUCGAAGCAGUAGUUAGAAAUCAUAUUCAUAACUAUUAAUUAUCUUUACAACUGCAAAAUUAAAUUCAUUGGAUAAAAUGUAAUACAAGCUUAAAUUGGAAAAAAUGUAAUACAAGGCUUAAAAUGGAAAAAAUGUAAUACAAGGCUUAAAAUGGAAAAAAUGUAAUACAAGGCUUAAAAUGGAAAAAAUGUAGUACCUUUGUUUCUUUUAACAAGGCUUAUAAGGCAGUAAAUCUGCAAAACAAUCACACUCAUUAACAUAUAAAAAGCACACAAAAGCAUAUAAUAUAAAACCAAUAAGCAAAGAAAAUGAAAUAAAAAAAAUAAAGAAGUUAAUCAUUCCAAUUAAAAUUGGUAAAUCUAACUAAUAACAACAAUGAGUAUAUUAAGAUUUAAUUUUUUACCUCUCAAAUAUGUGAAAAGCACACAAAUAUAUGGAAAACACAUAUACAAAUCCAUGGAAAACAUUAAGCAAAUUCAAAUAAAGACUCCUCCAACUCGAGUCUGAGGAAGAAGAAGGAAGAAAGGAACCACUCAACAGCAUGUAAAACAAAAUAGUAUACUUAAAAAAUCUGUUAUCAUGAUGAAGAUUGAAGGCAUCAACAUUAAGAACAUAAUAGAAAGUUAAAAAGUAAGGAUUAAUGUGGAAAAUUGGACAUAGCGGAUUCUUUAUCUUAACAGUAAUAAAACAAACCACAAUCAACUCACCUAACAUAUUCAUAAGAACAAAAACAAACAAUUUAAGAUGAGGACAAACAAUUAGUAGGACAAAUAACAGAGUUAAGAACAGGACAAACUGCAUGUUAAGGUGAGGCAAAUUACUACAUAAUAACACAUUAUAGUUAAGAAAAUUGAAAACAAUAUUUAAUUAGCUAUAGAAAAUUUCAACCAAACUCCAAUAAUACAAGAACAUUCUUGUUUGAUGAUGAUUCAUAAGGGUUGAAAAUCUAACCCUAAUCAUCCAAAAACCUAACCCUAAUCAAAGAUUUAUAACAAAGAUGAAAAAAAAAAGUUGAAAACCUAACACUAAUCAUACAAAAAUAAAAACUAAAUCAAAAUUCUAAUAUAUAAAACAACAUGCAAAAACAAAAAAAAAAAUCAAACUCUAGAAAAUCCAAAAACAGAAACAAUAGUUAAAUCAAAACCUAAUCAUAAUAAAAAGAAAUAAAAACCCAAACACGAUUCAAAAUAGAUUAGAAAAAGAUUAACAUGUUUAAAAAAACAGAGAUGAAUAAUGCUAUUUUUAAACACGAGAUUGAAAAUGCUAACAAAGAGGAAAAUGUUUAGAACAACAAAGACGAAACUAACAAAUUUAAAACAACAAAGACGAAUAAAGACAAUUUUUAAAAACGAGAUUAAAAAGUUUAGAACGAAAAGUUAGAGAGUUGAAAAAUAAGAGAUAGAGUGAUAACCUGGAGUGGACGUGGCUGCCGUUGGCAGUCAUUGAGGCUUGAAGGAAUUAUGGUUUGUUGGUGUGAAGAACUAGGGUUCGUGAGAGGAUGAUGAAAGAGUGAAAUUAGGUUGUAGGUGGGAUUGUGAGACUCUGAUUGAAAUUAGGGCUGAA
rnacentral:lncRNA from 1 species